GCCCGGAGAUGGUUUCUGAGACACGAAACCAGGCCCUACGGGGCGCAGCAGGCGCGAAAACUUCGCAAUGCGGGAAACCGUGACGAGGGAACUCCGAGUGUCUAUGCAUUGCAUAGACUGUUUUUUAGCCUAAAUAGCUAUUAGAGUAAGGGGUGGGAAAGACCGGUGCCAGCCGCCGCGGUAACACCGGCACCCCGAGUGGUAGCCACUAUUAUUGGGCCUAAAGCGUUCGUAGCCGGUUUGGUAAAUUCUUGGGUAAAUCGUACCGCUCAACGGUGCGGAUUCCGGGGACACUACCAGACUUGAGACCGGGGGAGAUCAGAGGUACUUGCGGGGGAGCGGUGAAAUGUUGUAAUCCCGCAGGGACCACCAGUGGCGAAGGCGUCUGAUCAGAACGGCUCUGACGGUGAGGAACGAAACCCUGGGGCGCAAACGGGAUUAGAUACCCCGGUAGUCCAGGGCGUAAACGCUGCUGACUUGGUGUUGGGGAUCCUACGAGGAUGUCCAGUGCUGGCGCGAAGGUAUUAAGUGCAGCCGCCUGGGGAGUACGGUCGCAAGACUGAAACUAAAGGAAUUGGCGGGGAGCACUGCAUCCGAAGC
rnacentral:rRNA from 1 species